rnacentral:lncRNA from 1 species
ACAUGCGAUCACAACAAGUCUGUUUCUGCAUUGUAAUUAUCUAUCGUGUCGGUUUUAGUAAAAAAUAUGAAUCAAACUUCUUGUGUCUUUCUGUUUCAUUUUAAGUUACCGUACAUGCGCAAUAAAAAAACUCCAUCAUAACCAACAACACACCACAUCCUCUACGUUAACGUUAUUUUCUGAAACAAGUCUGAUAUGUGACAUGAACACUAUGUUACAAACACCUUAAUGUACCUUGACAGUUAGCAUUAAUGUUCCGUUAACAUUGCAUUGCUCGUAUUUAACGUGGUGGACCAUAUUUUCCAACCACACGCAGACGCCUGUUUACCGGCUCAUGUUGUGUUGUGUUGAUCCUGCUAGCCUUGUCAGCAGAGCCGGAGUCGUGCUCGAGGCUAACCCCAGGCUAGCUGGCUAAUAAGCGCUUUAGCGAGCUAAGCUAAUGAGCCAGGUGCUCUGUUGCUAUGAAUCCAGAAAGAGGGUCAGAGGCCACCAGGCGCAGGGUUGUCUACAAGAAGACCAGUGUAAUGGUCCAGAAGAAAUCUCCUGCAGUCACAGGGAUCCAGACUCACUUUUUUUACAAGGAGCGCUGAGAAACUCCUUGACUUUGAAUGGAGCUUCCUAUAGUUGUGAAUCUGGAAUAAUGCUGCAGAUUGGAACAGUAAUGAUUAAUGUGAUGGUCAUCUGUCCUGGAACAACAAGAUUUGAAUCAGGACUGUCCACACCCACCCAGACUCUUCAUGGUACCUCCCACAGGAACUAAGAGGGCAGUCUCUGACAAGGAAUUAGAGAAUUUUUGUUUAUUGCCACAGUUCUAAUCGGCUCUUUCUGUUUUUUACUAAAAUCUUGCUGAUUUCUCUGGGUCAUCCAACAGGUUUUCUUUUUCUAUUUUGACAGUAGCAGUAUUCAUGUUGACACUCCCCUUUCAAAUAAAUGUAUUUGAUUUUUAUCCUUUCUAAGUGUUUAUUGUUCAUUAUGCAUAAUAUUCAUCAUGAUGCAUAUUUUAAUGAAUUUGUCUGUAGCACACAGGACAAUGAUGUUCUAAUGUUAAAUGCAUUGAAGACUGAUAUUUUAGAUAAUAUUUAUACUGCUAAAUUGAUUCAUUGUAUUAUCUACUGUACCUGUCUACAGUAAACUAUGAAAGUUAAAGUAACACCCUGAACAACUUGUUAUUCCAAAUAGUCACAGAAAUAUGCUGCAUUUAAUU